ensembl:lncRNA
AGAGCUUUCUGCAUUGGAAGUCAAACAAACAGAUGUGAUACAUACAGCAGAGAAGUGCGCAGAGGAAUGUCUCCACGUGUCAGACAGAAGGGGGGUAUUCAGGAAACCUGCCCCCUGCUGCUGCGUCCCAACUACAGACUAACUCGUCAGCUCGCAAAGUAUUCGUGCCGAAUGUGAGGACCAGUAAGGGUGGUGAAUGCGACAACGAUUGAUUGCCAUCAACAAUCUCUUCUUCAUCAUUAACAAUGUAAAUGUGCUUGGAGGAGGCGUUUGACCUCCACCUUCCCCGGUAAUGCCAGAAGGGGGCGAUGUGUCCAACCCAGGAAGUCGGAUUGGAAGGUGGGUACGGAUUUUUCCACCCCGACUGCCUCCUUUGUCCCCUGACACGCUCCGGUGGAAGCAGCAGCAGCAGGAGGACCACAGCGUAGGAGGCGCAGUGGGAGGAAGACGAGGAAUGGGCUAACACCCAAGUUAAAGUGCAC